rnacentral:rRNA from 1 species
AUGCCGCCGGUCUGCCCGUCGCGCAUGCCAUGGUUGAUCGACGGCCCACCGGAGGGGCAGCAGGAAGUCUUCCAGCUGGUGGUCUAUGAUAACGCGAAGGCGACCAGCCUCGCCGAGAUGCUCGUGUGCAACUCGUUCCUCGACGCCGAGACUGCGGCGUUCGGGCUGUUCCCGGAGAUACUGCCCAUCGGCCCGCUGUUCGCCGACAAGGAGCUCCGGAAGCCCGUCGGGCAGUUCUGGCCGGAAGACGUCAGCUGCUUGGAGUGGCUCGACGCGCAGUCCGAAGGCUCCGUUGUGUACGUGGCGUUCGGCAGCUUCACCAUCUUCGACCCGCGGCAGUUCAGAGAGCUCGCCGAGGGGCUGGAGCUCACCGGCCGGCCGUUCCUGUGGGUGGUGCGCCCGGACUUCACCUCCGACGUCCUCGGCAAGGCGUGGUUCGACGAGUUCCAGAGCCGCAUCGCCGGCAAGGGCAUGAUCGUCAGCUGGUGCCCCCAACAGCAGGUUCUGGCGCAUCCCGCCGUGGCGUGCUUCAUGUCGCACUGCGGGUGGAACUCGACGAUGGAGGCGGUGAGGAACGGCGUGCCGAUCCUGUGCUGGCCCUACUUCGCCGACCAGUUCACGAACCGGAGCUACAUCUGCGACAUCUGGAGGACCGGCUUGGCCGUGACGCUCGGAGAUGGAGUCGUGACGAAGGAGGAGGUGAAGAGCAAACUUGAGCAGGUCAUCGGCGACGAGGGAAUCGCGGAGAGGGUAGGGAUGCUCAGGGAUGCGGCUCGUAUGAGCAUUAACGAGGGCGGGUCAUCGUACAAGAAUUUCCAGAGAUUUGUUACCCUCCUAAACGAGUGA